GACGCACGCUGGCGGCGUGCUUAACACAUGCAAGUCGAACGGAAAGGCCCUGCUUUUGUGGGGUGCUCGAGUGGCGAACGGGUGAGUAACACGUGAGUAACCUGCCCUUGACUUUGGGAUAACUUCAGGAAACUGGGGCUAAUACCGGAUAGGAGCUCCUGCUGCAUGGUGGGGGUUGGAAAGUUUCGGCGGUUGGGGAUGGACUCGCGGCUUAUCAGCUUGUUGGUGGGGUAGUGGCUUACCAAGGCUUUGACGGGUAGCCGGCCUGAGAGGGCGACCGGCCACAUUGGGACUGAGAUACGGCCCAGACUCCUACGGGAGGCAGCAGUGGGGAAUAUUGCACAAUGGGCGGAAGCCUGAUGCAGCAACGCCGCGUGCGGGAUGACGGCCUUCGGGUUGUAAACCGCUUUCGCCUGUGACGAAGCGUGAGUGACGGUAAUGGGUAAAGAAGCACCGGCUAACUACGUGCCAGCAGCCGCGGUGAUACGUAGGGUGCGAGCGUUGUCCGGAUUUAUUGGGCGUAAAGGGCUCGUAGGUGGUUGAUCGCGUCGGAAGUGUAAUCUUGGGGCUUAACCCUGAGCGUGCUUUCGAUACGGGUUGACUUGAGGAAGGUAGGGGAGAAUGGAAUUCCUGGUGGAGCGGUGGAAUGCGCAGAUAUCAGGAGGAACACCAGUGGCGAAGGCGGUUCUCUGGGCCUUUCCUGACGCUGAGGAGCGAAAGCGUGGGGAGCGAACAGGCUUAGAUACCCUGGUAGUCCACGCUGUAAACGGUGGGUACUAGGUGUGGGGUCCAUUCCACGGGUUCCGUGCCGUAGCUAACGCUUUAAGUACCCCGCCUGGGGAGUACGGCCGCAAGGCUAAAACUCAAAGGAAUUGACGGGGCCCCGCACAAGCGGCGGAGCAUGCGGAUUAAUUCGAUGCAACGCGUAGAACCUUACCUGGGUUUGACAUGGAUCGGGAGUGCUCAGAGGUGGGUGUGCCUCUUUUGGGGUCGGUUCACAGGUGGUGCAUGGCUGUCGUCAGCUCGUGUCGUGAGAUGUUGGGUUAAGUCCCGCAACGAGCGCAACCCUUGUUCACUGUUGCCAGCACGUUAUGGUGGGGACUCAGUGGAGACCGCCGGGGUCAACUCGGAGGAAGGUGGGGAUGACGUCAAGUCAUCAUGCCCCUUAUGUCCAGGGCUUCACGCAUGCUACAAUGGCUGGUACAGAGAGUGGCGAGCCUGUGAGGGUGAGCGAAUCUCGGAAAGCCGGUCUCAGUUCGGAUUGGGGUCUGCAACUCGACCUCAUGAAGUCGGAGUCGCUAGCAAUCGCAGAUCAGCAACGCUGCGGUGAAUACGUUCCCGGGGCU
rnacentral:rRNA from 1 species